rnacentral:rRNA from 1 species
CUUUUAUGGAGAGUUUGAUCCUGGCUCAGGACGAACGCUGGCGGCGUGCCUAAUACAUGCAAGUCGAGCGGAGUUAUUCCUUCGGGAAUAGCUUAGCGGCGGACGGGUGAGUAACACGUAGGCAACCUGCCUGGAAGACCGGGAUAA